rnacentral:rRNA from 1 species
ACGAACGCUGGCGGCGUGCUUAACACAUGCAAGUCGAACGGAAAGGCCCUGCUUUUGUGGGGUGCUCGAGUGGCGAACGGGUGAGUAACACGUGAGUAACCUGCCCUUGACUUUGGGAUAACUUCAGGAAACUGGGGCUAAUACCGGAUAGGAGCUCCUGCUGCAUGGUGGGGGUUGGAAAGUUUCGGCGGUUGGGGAUGGACUCGCGGCUUAUCAGCUUGUUGGUGGGGUAGUGGCUUACCAAGGCUUUGACGGGUAGCCGGCCUGAGAGGGUGACCGGCCACAUUGGGACUGAGAUACGGCCCAGACUCCUACGGGAGGCAGCAGUGGGGAAUAUUGCACAAUGGGCGGAAGCCUGAGGCAGCAACGCCGCGUGCGGGAUGACGGCCUUCGGGUUGUAAACCGCUUUCGCCUGUGACGAAGCGUUAGUGACGGUAAUGGGUAAAGAAGCACCGGCUAACUACGUG